CCCUUAGAUGUCCUGGGCCGCACGCGCGCUACACUGAGUGUCUGAGAUACGAGUCUGCCUGGUCCGGCAAGGUCUAGGUAAUCGCUAAAAGACACAUCAUGCUUGGGAUAGAUUAUUGCAAAUAUUAAUCUUGAACGAGGAAUUCCUAGUAAGCGCAAGUCAACAGCUUGCGUUGAUUACGUCCCAGCCCUUUGUACACACCGCCCGUCGCUACUACUGAUUGGAUGUUUAAGCGAGGUUCUCGAACUGCUAGCGACUUAGCUUCGGUGAGGUCGCAGUGUGGGAAGUGAACCUAGCUUUGGUGUCUAGAGGAAGUAAAAGUCGUAACA
rnacentral:rRNA from 1 species